GAAAAUUGUUUGACUUGCUAUAAAUCUUGAAUUGCAUGGGUUCACACACAUCCGUGUACUUUAAAAAAACAACUUGGAUGCUUUGAUUUGCAAUAAAUCUAAAAUUGGGUUCAAAGCUAGCAUCCGUGUACUUUAAAAGACAACUUACGGGCUUUGACUUGCAAUAAAUCUAAAUUUGGGUUCACAGACAUCCGCGUACUUUAAAAGACAACUUGGGUGCUUUAAGAAUAUUUAAACGAAAUUCUUGGGGAUCUAUACUUUGAAAUGCUUGAUCUAAUUUAAAAUGUAUAUGUUUAAUGCAACUCAAGUUACUUUUAUUUUUUUUUUAAAAGAAAACGAUGAAAAGGGGCAUUUAGAACCCAUAAAUCAAGAGAAAAAAAGACCCCACCGUGGGCAAAAUUAAAACGACGAAAAUACAAAUAAAAGUCCACAAAGAAACAUAUUGUUCAUUUCUCGAUGACGAUAAAAAAAAAAUCAACUGAUUUUGACGAAUCAUGAUAUAUGUUUUCCAAUUAUUAUAACGGUAACGUUUUAAAUUAAAUGAUUGACACCUCUGACAAAUAAGGAUAAUUUGACAAACCCCAAUAAGGCAUUUCAACCAUCUUGAAAGAUUUCAAGGAUCAUUUAUUACAACACGGG
rnacentral:lncRNA from 1 species